rnacentral:rRNA from 1 species
GACGAACGCUGGCGGCGUGCUUAACACAUGCAAGUCGAACGGAAAGGCCCUGCUUUUGUGGGGUGCUCGAGUGGCGAACGGGUGAGUAACACGUGAGUAACCUGCCCUUGACUUUGGGAUAACUUCAGGAAACUGGGGCUAAUACCGGAUAGGAGCUCCUGCUGCAUGGUGGGGGUUGGAAAGUUUCGGCGGUUGGGGAUGGACUCGCGGCUUAUCAGCUUGUUGGUGGGGUAGUGGCUUACCAAGGCUUUGACGGGUAGCCGGCCUGAGAGGGUGACCGGCCACAUGGGGACUGAGAUACGGCCCAGACUCCUACGGGAGGCAGCAGUGGGGAAUAUUGCACAAUGGGCGGAAGCCUGAUGCAGCAACGCCGCGUGCGGGAGGACGGCCUUCGGGUGGUAAACCGCUUUCGCCUGUGACGAAGCGUGAGUGACGGUAAUGGGGAAAGAAGCACCGGCAAACUACGU